GACGAACGCUGGCGGCGUGCUUAACACAUGCAAGUCGAACGGAAAGGCCCUGCUUGCAGGGUACUCGAGUGGCGAACAGGUGAGUAACACGUGGGUGAUCUGCCCUGCACUUCGGGAUAGGCCUGGGAAACUGGGUCUAAUACCGGAUAGGAGCCAUUUUUAGUGUGAUGGUUGGAAAGUUUUUUCGGUGUAGGAUGAGCUCGCGGCCUAUCAGCUUGUUGGUGGGGUAAUGGCCUACCAAGGCGGCGACGGGUAGCCGGCCUGAGAGGGUGGACGGCCACAUUGGGACUGGGAUACGGCCCAGACUCCUACGGGAGGCAGCAGUGGGGAAUAUUGCACAAUGGGCGCAAGCCUGAUGCAGCGACGCCGCGUGGGGGAUGACGGCCUUCGGGUUGUAAACUCCUUUCGCUAGGGACGAAGCUUUUUGUGACGGUACCUAGAUAAGAAGCACCGGCUAACUACGUG
rnacentral:rRNA from 1 species